rnacentral:misc_RNA from 1 species
AGUUAAAUCCCAUGCACAGCAUUCAUAAUGAUUCCCAGGUCCUCGAUUUCCCUGGAGGCGAGGUCAAAUUCACCUCACAUUUGAACUUUAUUCCUGAAACAAGGGAGGAGAGAGUACACUGUUACCGGGUCCUUGAUGAUGAUGGUUACCCAAUCACUAACGAUUUUGCACAGAUUGAAAAGGAAGUUGCGUUGAAAAUAUAUACUGAUAUGGUCACACUUCAAACAAUGGAUACAAUCUUUUAUGAAGCACAAAGACAAGGACGGAUAUCUUUCUAUCUUACCACAGUUGGAGAAGAAGCUAUCAACAUUGCAUCAGCUGCUGCACUUAAGACCGACGAUUUCAUCUUUCCACAGUAUAGGGAGUCCGGAGUUCUAUUAUGGAGAGGGUUUACCAUUCAAGAAUUUGCCAAUCAGUUGUUUGGAAACAAAAACGAUUAUGGAAAAGGCAGGCAGAUGCCUAUCCAUUACGGAUCUAAUAAGCACAAUUAUAUUACUGUUGCAUCAACAGUAGCUACUCAGCUUCCACAUGCUGUUGGUGCUGCCUAUGCUCUAAAGAUGGACGCG